rnacentral:ribozyme from 1 species
GGUAGUUACACUGCACUAGUAGAGUGGAUCCGAAGCAUCUCGAAGGAUAAUAAAGGCUCUCCAAAUCCUACUUCUAAUCAAUACGCACCCGGCGUAUAGAGAAUGUCUCUCCAAAUAUACAUUACAGGGCAUAUAGGGAAACCCAACCCCUUGGGAGGAUAGGUGAUAUAGCUACAUUGAGAGGA